rnacentral:rRNA from 1 species
UAGAUACCCUGGUAGUCCACGCCGUAAACGAUGUCUACUAGCCGUUGGAGCUCAUGAAGCUUUAGUGGCGCAGCUAACGCGAUAAGUAGACCGCCUGGGGAGUACGGCCGCAAGGUUAAAACUCAAAUGAAUUGACGGGGGCCCGCACAAGCGGUGGAGCAUGUGGUUUAAUUCGAUGCAACGCGAAGAACCUUACCUGGUCUUGACAUAGUGAGGAUCCUACAGAGAUGUGGGAGUGCCUUAGGGAACU